rnacentral:rRNA from 1 species
UACGUAGGGUGCAAGCGUUGUCCGGAAUUAUUGGGCGUAAAGCGCGCGUAGGCGGCCCCGUAAGUCCGCUGUGAAAGUCAAAGGCUCAACCUUUGAAAGCCGGUGGAUACUGUGGGGCUAGAGUACGGAAGAGGCGAGUGGAAUUCCUGGUGUAGCGGUGGAAUGCGCAGAUAUCAGGAGGAACACCGGUGGCGAAGGCGGGUCUCUGGGCCGUUACUGACGCUGAGGAGCGAAAGCGUGGGGAGCGAACAGG